GAAAUAUAGGCUAAACCUCAAACCAUGGGCCUUCAAAGCCCAAACUGUGAACUAUUCACUAUUCUGCCCACUAAGAC
rnacentral:tRNA from 1 species